rnacentral:rRNA from 1 species
AUUGAACGCUGGCGGCAUGCCUUACACAUGCAAGUCGAACGGUAACGGGCCUUCGGGUGCCGACGAGUGGCGAACGGGUGAGUAAUGCAUCGGAACGUACCUUUCAGUGGGGGAUAACGUAGCGAAAGUUACGCUAAUCCCGCAUAUUCUGUGAGCAGGAAAGCAGGGGAUCGCAAGACCUUGCGCUGAUUGAGCGGCCGACGUCAGAUUAGCUAGUUGGUGAGGUAAAGGCUCACCAAGGCGACGAUCUGUAGCGGGUCUGAGAGGAUGAUCCGCCACACUGGAACUGAGACACGGUCCAGACUCCUACGGGAGGCAGCAGUGGGGAAUUUUGGACAAUGGGGGCAACCCUGAUCCAGCCAUGCCGCGUGAGUGAAGAAGGCCUUCGGGUUGUAAAGCUCUUUCGGCCGGGAAGAAAUCGCAUGGGCUAAUACCCUGUGUGGAUGACGGUACCGGAAUAAGAAGCACCGGCUAACUACGUGCCAGCAGCCGCCGCCGUAA